GUGUCAGCAGCCGCGGUAAUACAGAGGCCUCGAGCGUUGCGCGGAAUCACUGGGCUUAAAGGGUGCGUAGGUGGACAUGCAAGUGCCUUGUGAAAUCCCCGGGCUCAACCCGGGAACUGCUUGGUAGACUGCAUGUCUUGAGGUCGGUAGGGGUCGCUGGAACAGUUGGUGGAGCGGUGAAAUGCGUAGAUAUCAACUGGAACGCCAAAGGCGAAGGCAAGCGACUGGGCCGAUUCUGACACUGAGGCACGAAAGCGUGGGGAGCAAACGGGAUUAGAUACCCUCGUAGUCC
rnacentral:rRNA from 1 species